CGCCCAGGCUUCCUUCGGGAGAAUUCCGGGCGCGGCCCUGCAGAGCCGCGGGGGAGCGACAGCAGCGAACGGGAGUGGAGGGGAGCGACCCACCCCUGCGCCACCUGCCCUCAGCAGGGUGGGCACAAACAAGGAGGGAGAAAGCGGAGCGUGGUCAGCACUUGUGCAAACCAAGCCUUUUCUGGGGGCGGGAGGGGGAUUCUGAUCAAGGUUUGCAGAGAUGAGGCCGCAGCAGCAGAGCAGCAGCAAUGUGGGCUGGUUUUAAGAAGCACUAAAUCUCUGUGUCAGCUGGAAGCCCGCUCCUCUGCCGCGGGCUGGACGGCCCCGCGUGGGCGGCGCGGCUCCUGGCGGCGGCCCCAGCGUGGGCGGUGUUCUCCCAACAGAGUUCAGGGCCCUGCCGGGUCACCCACCCGGACUCUGUCCCUCCUCCCCCGGACGGCUGCGCCCCGUGCCUGGGAGGACACACGCCGCGCACACAGACACCACACAUCCCACACCACACAGUACAACACACACCACACAUACCACAUCACCCACACACAUACCACACACACACCAGACACACACACACUACACACAACACACACACCCCAGACACACAAAGACACACUACACAGACACACAACACACACCCCCCCACACCACACAACACACAUACCACACACACACCAGACACACUACACACAACACACACACCCCAAACACACACAGACACACUACACACACACCCCACACCACACAACACACACACCACGCAUACCACAUCACAUGCACACACUCUACACACACCCCCACACAAUACACAUGCACAACACACACACCCCCACCACACACACACAUACACCACACAUACCACAUCACCCACACACACCACACAUACCACACACACCCCAGACACACACAGACACAAUACACAUGCACAACACACACACCCCACACCACACACACACAUACACCACACAUAGACACACCACACAGACAGAUACCACACACACCACACCACAUCACACAACACAACACACACACCACACAUACCACACUGCAUACAUAUAUACCCCCCCAAACACACCACACACACAGGCACACAUAGACACACCACACAGACACACACAACACUCAGACACUGCACACACACCAUACCACACGACACAAUACAAUACACACCACACGCACCGCACCACACACACCCCACAGCCUCCCUCUCUCUCCCCCACCCCACCGGGUGUCAUCCCGCUUGAAUGA
rnacentral:lncRNA from 1 species